rnacentral:rRNA from 1 species
UACGGAAGGCAGCAGGGGGGAAGUAUUGCACAAUGGGCGCAAGCCUGAUGCAGCCAUGCCGCGUGUAUGAAAAAGGCCUUCGGGUUUGUAAAGUACUUUCUAGUCGUGAGGAAGGUGUUAAGGUUAAUAACCUUAGCAAUUGACGUUAGCGACAGAAGAAGCACCGGCUAACUCCGUGCCAGCAGCCGCGGUAAUACGGAGGGUGCGAGCGUUAAAUCGGAAUUACUGGGCGUAAAGGGCACGCAGGCGGUUAAUUAAGUUGGAUGUGAAAUCCCCGGGCUUAACCUGGGAAUGGCAUUCAAGACUGGUUAGCUAGAGUCUUGUAGAGGGGGUAGAUUCCAUGUGUAGCGGUGAAAUGCGUAGAGAUGUGGAGGAAUACCGGUGGCGAAGGCGGCCCCUGGACAAAGGACUGACGCUCAUGUGCGAAAGCGUGGGGAGCAAACAGGGAUUAGGAUA